rnacentral:rRNA from 1 species
CCUACGGGUGGCACCAGUGGGGAAUCUUGGGCAAUGGGCGAGAGCCUGACCCAGCGACGCCGCGUGAGGGAAGAAGGCCCUCGGGUCGUAAACCUCUGUCAGGAGGGAAGAAAAUGCUACAUAUUAACAGUGUGUAGUAUUGACGGUACCUCCAGAGGAAGCGCCGGCCAACUCCGUGCCAGCAGCCGCGGUAAUACGGAGGGCGCAAGCGUUAUUCGGAAUUACUGGGCGUAAAGCGCGCGUAGGCGGCAACGUAAGUCAGGUGUGAAAGUCCUCGGCUCACCCGGGGGAUGGCACUUGAAACUGCGUAGCUGGAGUUCUGGAGAGGGUGGCGGAAUUCCCGGUGUAGGAGUGAAAUCCGUAGAGAUCGGGAGGAACACCAGAGGCGAAGGCGGCCACCUGGCCAGAAACUGACGCUGAGGCGCGAAAGCGUGGGUAGCAAACAGGAUUAGAUACCCUAGUAGUC